rnacentral:rRNA from 1 species
UACGUAGGGAGCAAGCGUUGUCCGGAAUCAUUGGGCGUAAAGCGCGCGUAGGCGGCCCUGUAAGUCCGUUGUGAAAGUCAAAGGCUCAACCUUUGAAAGCCGAUGGAUACUGCAGGGCUAGAGUCCGGGAAGAGGCGAGUGGAAUUCCUGGUGUAGCGGUGGAAUGCGCAGAUAUCAGGAAGAACACCAAUGGCGAAGGCAGCUCUCUGGGACGGUACUGACGCUGAGACGCGAAAGCGUGGGGAGCGAACAGG